rnacentral:rRNA from 1 species
CAGGCUUAACACAUGCAAGUCGAGGGGCAGCAUGGUCUUAGCUUGCUAAGGCCGAUGGCGACCGGCGCACGGGUGAGUAACACGUAUCCAACCUGCCGUCUACUCUUGGACAGCCUUCUGAAAGGAAGAUUAAUACAAGAUGGCAUCAUGAGUCCGCAUGUUCACAUGAUUAAAGGUAUUCCGGUAGACGAUGGGGAUGCGUUCCAUUAGAUAGUAGGCGGGGUAACGGCCCACCUAGUCUUCGAUGGAUAGGGGUUCUGAGAGGAAGGUCCCCCACAUUGGAACUGAGACACGGUCCAAACUCCUACGGGAGGCAGCAGUGAGGAAUAUUGGUCAAUGGGCGAGAGCCUGAACCAGCCAAGUAGCGUGAAGGAUGACUGCCCUAUGGGUUGUAAACUUCUUUUAUAAAGGAAUAAAGUCGGGUAUGCAUACCCGUUUGCAUGUACUUUAUGAAUAAGGAUCGGCUAACUCCGUGCCAGCAGCCGCGGUAAUACGGAGGAUCCGAGCGUUAUCCGGAUUUAUUGGGUUUAAAGGGAGCGUAGAUGGAUGUUUAAGUCAGUUGUGAAAGUUUGCGGCUCAACCGUAAAAUUGCAGUUGAUACUGGAUAUCUUGAGUGCAGUUGAGGCAGGCGGAAUUCGUGGUGUAGCGGUGAAAUGCUUAGAUAUCACGAAGAACUCCGAUUGCGAAGGCAGCCUGCUAAGCUGCAACUGACAUUGAGGCUCGAAAGUGUGGGUAUCAAACAGGAUUAGAUACCCUGGUAGUCCACACGGUAAACGAUGAAUACUCGCUGUUUGCGAUAUACAGCAAGCGGCCAAGCGAAAGCGUUAAGUAUUCCACCUGGGGAGUACGCCGGCAACGGUGAAACUCAAAGGAAUUGACGGGGGCCCGCACAAGCGGAGGAACAUGUGGUUUAAUUCGAUGAUACGCGAGGAACCUUACCCGGGCUUAAAUUGCAGAUGAAUUACGGUGAAAGCCGUAAGCCGCAAGGCAUCUGUGGAGGUGCUGCAUGGUUGUCGUCAGCUCGUGCCGUGAGGUGUCGGCUUAAGUGCCAUAACGAGCGCAACCCUUGUUGUCAGUUACUAACAGGUUCCGCUGAGGACUCUGACAAGACUGCCAUCGUAAGAUGUGAGGAAGGUGGGGAUGACGUCAAAUCAGCACGGCCCUUACGUCCGGGGCUACACACGUGUUACAAUGGGGGGUACAGAGGGCCGCUACCACGCGAGUGGAUGCCAAUCCCCAAAACCUCUCUCAGUUCGGACUGGAGUCUGCAACCCGACUCCACGAAGCUGGAUUCGCUAGUAAUCGCGCAUCAGCCACGGCGCGGUGAAUACGUUCCCGGGCCUUGUACACACCGCCCGUCAAGCCAUGGGAGCCGGGGGUACCUGAAGUGCGUAACCGCGAGGAGCGCCCUAGGGUAAAACUGGUGACUGGGGCUAAG